AGCAACGCCGCCUGAGUGAUGAAGGUUUUCGGAUCGUAAAGCUCUGUUGUUAGGGAAGAACAAGUACCGUUCGAAUAGGGCGGUACCUUGACGGUACCUAACCAGAAAGCCACGGCUAANUACGUGCCAGCAGCCGCGGUAAUACGUAGGUGGCAAGCGUUGUCCGGAAUUAUUGGGCGUAAAGGGCUCGCAGGCGGUUUCUUAAGUCUGAUGUGAAAGCCCCCGGCUCAACCGGGGAGGGUCAUUGGAAACUGGGGAACUUGAGUGCAGAAGAGGAGAGUGGAAUUCCACGUGUAGCGGUGAAAUGCGUAGAGAUGUGGAGGAACACCAGUGGCGAAGGCGACUCUCUGGUCUGUAACUGACGCUGAGGAGCGAAAGCGUGGGGAGCGAACAGGAUUAGAUACCCUGGUAGUCCACGCCGUAAACGAUGAGUGCUAAGUGUUAGGGGGUUUCCGCCCCUUAGUGCUGCAGCUAACGCAUUAAGCACUCCGCCUGGGGAGUACGGUCGCAAGACUGAAACUCAAAGGAAUUGACGGGGGCCCGCACAAGCGGUGGAGCAUGUGGUUUAAUUCGAAGCAACGCGAAGAACCUUACCAGGUCUUGACAUCCUCUGACAAUCCUAGAGAUAGGACGUCCCCUUCGGGGGCAGAGUGACAGGUGGUGCAUGGUUGUCGUCAGCUCGUGUCGUGAGAUGUUGGGUUAAGUCCCGCAACGAGCGCAACCCUUGAUCUUAGUUGCCAGCAUUCAGUUGGGCACUCUAAGGUGACUGCCGGUGACAAACCGGAGGAAGGUGGGGAUGACGUCAAAUCAUCAUGCCCCUUAUGACCUGGGCUACACACGUGCUACAAUGGACAGAACAAAGGGCAGCGAAACCGCGAGGUUAAGCCAAUCCCACAAAUC
rnacentral:rRNA from 1 species